ensembl:lncRNA
GGCCGGGGGUGACAAUACAGUCGUGGCCGCUCCGUCAUAUGCCUUGAGGGGAGGGGUGCUGUCCUCCAGACCCACUGACCUUAGUGUGUCUGGGAGGCAGGCUGUGCCCCGAGGGACCCAGAGGAGCAUGUAAAGGAGGGUCCUCCCCCACCGUCUCCCCAGAUUUGGAGGCAAUUUGUGGGGAGCAGGAGGGUGUACUUGAGGGCGGUCUACAGCCCCUCCUUCACGUGGAUGCUGGAGAAAGAGGCGGAGAGUAUUGCUUGGAGUCAGACCCACCGCCUUAAAUCUUUGUGGUGCUGUGUGCAAGCUGUGUGACCUUGGGUGUGCGGCUGAACCUUUCUGAGUCUCAUUCCAGGGACUCUAAAAUGGGGGCUCUACCUGGGACAGGCUCUGCCUGGGACAGGCUCAGGAUUCCAAACACUUCAUGACAUGGAUGGAUGGCUGACUCUCCUGCAGAACACACCGCACGCCAGGUCCUGUUUCAGAAGUUUCCACGCGUGUUAGCUCACUCACUCCUGGGACAGCCACACUGGAGGCACCCUGAUGACCCUCCUGCUUUGCAGAUGGAGAGCCUGUAGUGUGGAGCGUGAGAGCCUCACGGUGACGGGAGGGACAGGAGCUGGGAGGACGCUCCCUGUGGCAUCUCUGCCCAGCCACGAGCCCGUGGGGAGGACGGGGCAGUCCCUGCUCGCCCCGCUCCCCACCACCUCCAGGGUCAGCUGCCCCACCCCUGCCAAUCUGCCCCAUCCAGGGACGUGGCUCUCAGCCCUCUUCCAUCCACCGCUCCUG